rnacentral:rRNA from 1 species
UACGUAGGGUGCAAGCGUUAAUCGGAAUUACUGGGCGUAAAGCGUGCGCAGGCGGCUAUGCAAGACAGAUGUGAAAUCCCCCGGGCUCAACCUGGGAACUGCAUUUGUGACUGCAUAGCUAGAGUACGGUAGAGGGGGAUGGAAUUCCGCGUGUAGCAGUGAAAUGCGUAGAUAUGCGGAGGAACACCGAUGGCGAAGGCAAUCCCCUGGACCUGUACUGACGCUCAUGCACGAAAGCGUGGGUAGCAAACAGG